rnacentral:rRNA from 1 species
CAGCAGCCGCGGUAAUACGUAGGUCCCGAGCGUUGUCCGGAUUUAUUGGGCGUAAGGCGAGCGCAGGCGGUUAGAUAAGUCUGAAGUUAAAGGCUGUGGCUUAACCAUAGUACGCUUUGGAAACUGUUUAACUUGAGUGCAAGGGGGGAGAGUGGAAUUCCAUGUGUAGCGGUGAAAUGCGUAGAUAUAUGGAGGAACACCGGUGGCGAAGGCGGGUCUCUGGGCCGAUAUUGACGCUGAGGAGCGAAAGCGUGGGGAGCAAACAGGAUUAGAUACCCCAGUAGUCCCUGUCUCUUAUACA